AAUUGUCAUAAGAGAAAAGAGACUAGUAAGCAGAAUAACAUUUUUACAGACAACAAAGGCAUAACAGAAAGUCUUGCGCAAAGAAAAGAUCAAAACAGAAACCUAUUUGAAAAGAGCUAAUCGACAUUAAGAAAGAUACAAGACAUAAACAACAACAUAAAUUGGAAUUAGAAAAACCCAAAAAGCAGAUAACAGAACUCAAGAAAAGUUUUUUUAAUAUUAAAAUUAUUUUAGACAUUAAGAUGUGAUAGCCAGCCUCCAGGAUGGUCCCCAGUGACCCUUUUCCCCGAAUAUUUAGACCUUUCUAUAAUACUUUUCUACAUUGGCACAGGACUGGUCAGUAGGAUAUUAUAAAAGUGAUGACAUAUGAUUUAUGAGGCUAGGUCAUAAAAGAUAUUGCAUCUUCCAUUUGCCCUCUUAGAUCUCUUGCUCUGGUAGAAGCUAACUUCUGUCUGUUGAGCUCAUUCAUUCAGCCCUAAGGAAAGGCCAAAAAGGAGAGAGUUGAGACUUCCUGCCAAAAGCCAGCCCCAACUUACCAGCUUUAUGUGUUAGUUACCUUGAAAGUAAAUCUUUCAGCCUCAGUCAAGUCUUCAGAUCACAGCAACCUCAUAAGAGUCUCUGAGUCAGAACUGCUCAGCCAAGCCAUGCCUGAAUUCUCAAUCCAGAAAAAUGUGAAACAUAACAGGAGAGAAGUGGACUGGAUAACAGAAAUUCACCUAAUGCAUACUCUUUGCCAAUUGGACCAGUGUCAGUGACCAUAGAAAGAAAGAAAGAAAGGAUCAAUGAUGGUCAUACUAUGUGCAAAGCACUAUGCUACACACCAGGAUAUUGAUGACCAUUAAACUAUAACCUCUGCCCACAAAGAGAUAACACAAUUAUUAUAGAAGAAUUAUGUGAAGAGUAUGCGAAGGAUACUCCAGUCACUCAGAAGAAAGAGGAGUUCCCAGAGGAGAGGAUGCAUAAGCAGAGUCUUCAAAGAGGAAUAGAAGUUGAGGAGUAGAGAGCCAUUGCAGAGAGAAUGGGAGAAAUAUGCAUCAAAGUAGAGAGGCAUGAGAAGAAUGGAAUAUUGAUUAGCCAUAGAUGGUUCAGUAUGCACGGAACACAUAGGGUGCAAGGCAGGCAAUGAUGAUUGAUGAGCUGAACAAGAAUACAGAGGACACAUCUUAAAGGAGUUUGCAUGCCUGCUAAAGUUUAAAAUUUAUGUCAAAGGCAAUUGGAAACAUCACAUUUUAAGCAGAAUUGUGCUGUAUUAAGAUUUAAAUUUUAGAGAGAUUGUUCUGACUAAAGGGUUGCUAAUAAUGAGGAAGGUGAUGAAACAUACUAUGACAAAGCAUUGACAUUCUCUAAAGAUCUCAUACACGUAAUUAAAAGCCAACCAUUACAAGGAGAAAAAAAGGGGGGGGUCAAUAAAAAGAUAUUCAUCUUUACAAAAAAUCAGAGCAAGGCAAUUUAAAAACGAGAUACUAUUGGGGCCGGCCCCAUGGCCUAGUGGUUAGGUUUGCGCGCUCUGCUGCAGUGGCCCAGGGUUUCACUUGGUCGGAUCCUGGGUGCGGGCAUUGUGUGGAGCAAUAAAAACUUGAAAACUAUUAUAAAAAGAUGACGUGAAGUGCAAAAUGGGAUUUUUCUUUUUUUCCUAAGAACUAA
ensembl:lncRNA